GGCGGGGUAGCAAAAUGGUUAUGCAGCGGCCUGCAAAGCCGUGUACGCCGGUUCGAUUCCGGCCCUCGCCUCCA
rnacentral:tRNA from 6 species